rnacentral:rRNA from 1 species
CAAGGACUAAGCCAUGCAUGGAGAAUGGAGUACAUGGCUAACUCUCCGGAGUUCGCCUGCUUAGUUGGUCUGUGAAUGGCUCAUUAAAUUCAGCAAGAACCUACAUCGGUCAUGCAGAGGGGAUGGUAUCCCACUUCCUUCGAAGAGGCAGCCUGCCCAGUGUCAGAUGGAUAACCGCACUAACCGAGUGGCUAAUACAUGUUCGAUGAUGCCCUUCCCAAGGGCUUCCAGUCUUGGUGCAAAUCCUGAGCUCCACUCAGAGGCCUUGGUCUUUGGUGGAAGGGACAUGGGCAGGAGCAGGCUGACACAAAGACCAGUGUCUGAAAAGACAGUGUGGAUUGAUGACUCAAGCCUGUGGCUUCCUGGAGGGUUCUUGAUAGCAGAGUAACUUCGGUUGCUGCAUGAUGGUCUGGCUUUCUGUCCUAUUAGCUGGUGAUUGUGGCCUAUUGGACCACAUUGGCUUUCAUGGGUAACGGAGGAUUAUGGUUCGAUUCCAGAGAGGGAGCCUGAGAAACGGCUGCCACUGCUAAGGCAGGCAGCAGGCGCGCAAAUUGCCCACUUUCGACACAUCAGCAAGAGGCAGCAACGAGACAUGGCAGCAUUGGUAGCCACAAGGCUGCUGGUGCUUGCAAUGGAUGCUACUCAAAUCCGUCACUGAGUAUCAACUGGAGGGAAAGUCUGGUGCCAGCAGCCRCGGUAAUUCCAGCUCCAGUAGUGUAUGCUAAUGUUGUUGCUGUUGAAACACUCGUAGUUGAUCACAAAGAAGGCCAACUCUCUGAGACAGUGCAAGGGCUUGCUCUUCUUGGUAAGUGUCCACUCAGACAGUUCACUGCUGRGCUGGACCUCUCAGGCAUGGCUUUCUCCUCAGUGCUAUGGGACUGGUGGCUCGUCUUGAUGGUUGCAUUGUCUUCAGUGAUGGUGUGAUUGGAAGUUCACUUUCAACUCGAGUGUGCUUGUGCUAUGGACUCUCUCCUGGCACCUUCCCUCCUCUGUGAGAUGCAAAGCUGCCCAUCAAUGGUGACAUGAGCAAAGCAGCUUGUCCAAGGCUAUCGUCUUCUACUUGAAACCAAAUGGCAUGUCUCAGCAUGAUACACCAAGGCUUCAAUCAGCAGGCUUCAUUUCUACUGGACUUCCAAGCUCAAUGAGCAAUGGUGGCUGUCUCUGGGCAGUGGGUUAGCUUCGGCUGACUGACUGGUCUUUGACUCAAGGUCUCUUGAGAAAGCUGGAAGGUCAUUGGGCUCAUUGUACUGCUUGCCGAGAGGUGAAAUUCUUAGACCCAAGAAAGACAGACUGCAGCGAAAGCUAUGAGCAACUCUGCCUUCGUCGAUCAAGAACGAGAGUGUGGGGAUUGAAGAUGAUCUGAUACCGUUGUAAUCCACACUGUAAACGAUGCCGGCUCAGCUAUGGUGGGCA